rnacentral:rRNA from 1 species
AUACAGAGGGUGCGAGCGUUAAUCGGAGUUACUGGGCGUAAAGGGCGCGUAGGCGGAUGAUUAAGUCAGUUGUGAAAUCCCAGGGCUUAACCUUGGAACUGCAAUUGAUACUGAUUGACUAGAGUCGACGAGAGGGAAGCGGAAUUUCCGGUGUAGCGGUGAAAUGCGUAGAUAUCGGAAGGAACACCCGUGGCGAAGGCGGCUUCCUGGCUUCAGACUGACGCUGAGGUGCGAAAGCGUGGGGAGCGAACAGGAUUAGAAACCCUUGUAGUCC